rnacentral:rRNA from 1 species
GUCAGCUCGAGUCGAGAGAUGUUGGGUUAAGUCCCGCAACGAGCGCAACCCUUGUCAUUAGUUGCUACAUUCAGUUGGGCACUCUAAUGAGACUGCCGGUGACAAACCGGAGGAAGGUGGGGAUGACGUCAAGUCCUCAUGGCCCUUAUAGGUGGGGCUACACACGUCAUACAAUGGCUGGUACAGAGGGUUGCCAACCCGCGAGGGGGAGCCAAUCCCAUAAAGCCAGUCGUAGUCCGGAUCGCAGUCUGCAACUCGACUGCGUGAAGUCGGAAUCGCUAGUAAUCGCGGAUCAGAAUGUCGCGGUGAAUACGUUCCCGGGUCUUGUACACACCGCCCGUCACACCAUGGGAGCGGGUUCUGCCAGAAGUAGUUAGCCUAACCGCAAGGAGGGCGAUUACCACGGCAGGGUUCGUGACUGGGGUGAAGUCGUAACAAGGUAGCCGUAAAGGGCGAAUUCUGCAGAUAUCCAUCACACUGGCGGCCGCUCGAGCAUGCAU